AGUGAACGCUGGCGGUAGGCCUAACACAUGCGAGUCGAACGGCCGCACAGUAAGAGCUUGCUCUUACGGGUGGCGAGUGGCGGACGGGUGAGGAAUACAUCGGAAUCUACUUUUUCGGGGGGGAUAACGUAGGGAAACUUACGCUAAUACCGCAUACGACCUACGGGUGAAAGCAGGGGAUCUUCGGACCUUGCGCGAUUGAAUGAGCCGAUGUCGGAUUAGCUAGUUGGCGGGGUAAAGGCCCACCAAGGCGACGAUCCGUAGCUGGUCUGAGAGGAUGAUCAGCCACACUGGAACUGAGACACGGUCCAGACUCCUACGGGAGGCAGCAGUGGGGAAUAUUGGACAAUGGGCGCAAGCCUGAUCCAGCCAUACCGCGUGGGUGAAGAAGGCCUUCGGGUUGUAAAGCCCUUUUGUUGGGAAAGAAAAGCAGCAGGUUAAUACCCCGCUGUUCUGACGGUACCCAAAGAAUAAGCACCGGCUAACUUCGUG
rnacentral:rRNA from 1 species